GUCUACGGCCAUGCCACCCUGAACAAGCCCGAACCCAUCUGAUCUUGGAAGCUAAGCAGGGUCAGGCCUGGUUAGUACUUGGAUGGGAGACCACCCAAGAAGACCAGGUGCUGUAGGCA
rfam:Pteropus alecto contig46181, whole genome shotgun sequence.